AAGAACAUAAGUAUAUACUUCCUUAUCGAGAGUUCGAUAUCAACAAAACAAAUGCUAUUCGUAUUUUUUUUCGAAGUGUUCAAUUAGACAUUCUUUCCUGUCGUUGCGUAAUGGUAUAAAACGUGGCGUCGCGUCGUGUCGAAUACAUCUUUCUGACGUCUAACAUUUAUUUUAUAAAUUCGAUACAAAGUAUUUCGUGAUAAAGUAUUUAUAAAUUGGUUUCGUGAACUUUGAGUGAAAAUAAUGGAGAAACAAUGUGGAAAAUAUGAAGAAUAUGAAGAAAUAUCUGAUGAUUCUUGUAACCUAUUGAUAAACAUCUUGUCUUGAUACUUUAGUUUUCUACGAGCUUCUUCGUAUACGAUCCGUAGAUCAUGUAAGGAGAACUAGUGGACAAUUCAUCUCGUCCAAUUCUACACAGAAUAUAAAGUACAGUGAAAAGCGAUACUCGAGGCCACCAACCGCGCUCCAAUCAUCGACAUUUGCGGGGAGCGAGCUGUCGGUCUUACCGCGUGAUGCAACAUCGUGACAGACAGUGGAUAUAUGCGAUUCAGUAGUAUGAGUAGACGAUUGCAGAUCCGAUGCUCGGAAACAGUCCCCCCGAGUACUCUGGAGCAUCGACUCUCGUGAUCGUCGAGGCUUCGAUUGGUCAGUACUCGAUGUCCCCGGUGCCGUUUGAAAUAAAGCGGGAGAGAUCUCGAGUAUAGUGAUGGAGGAAUGGGAAUUAUUAUGAUAAACAGUGAGACAAUCAUUUUUUAUUUUUUAUUUUCUUUUAUUCUUUUCUCUUUAUCUUGUUUUUGUAUUUUUGUG